CCUGUUCACAACCAACAAAGAUCCAAGAUCAAUAAGUGAAGAUGGUGACCUGAGAAAUCAUCAGUAGACUGAAGGGGACAGGCUAGAGCUACAAUCUAGCCUACUGGAGUGGACUUGGAGCAUAGGAGCAGCAAGAGUAGGACCAACAGAGAGGGCAAAAGAAGAAAGGAAGCAAGUACAGUCAGGAGAAGGAGACGCUACAGAAGCAAACUGAGUCCGGGUCUGAAGCAAAGCUUGUAUGAGAAUCCUACUGGACCAAGUGAGGAGAGCAAUGGUGAUGACUACAACUACACAGGGGACCUAGAUGUGGAUCCAUCUAGUGCUAUGUACGAUCUGGAUGCCGCAUAUGGGGGUUGGGAUGAAUAAGUAAUUAUGAUCUAGCUAUGUAAUCCAGAAAACUAUUUUAUCAUCAUCUAUCUAGUACUGCUAGUUGGAACUCCGGUGUUAGGAGAUGUAAUAAUUUGGCAAAACAUGUGAGAAGCCUACCUGAGACUUUUAGCCCUGUGUGGCAAGGUAUUGUAAUAUAAAUGACUAUCUCUAGCUA